rnacentral:rRNA from 1 species
GAUGAACGCUGGCGGCGUGCCUAAUACAUGCAAGUCGAGCGAACGGACGAGAAGCUUGCUUCUCUGGUGUUAGCGGCGGACGGGUGAGUAACACGUGGAUAACCUACCUAUAAGACUGGGAUAACUUCGGGAAACCGGAGCUAAUACCGGAUAAUAUUUUGAACCGCAUGGUUCAAAAGUGAAAGACGGUCUUGCUGUCACUUAUAGAUGGAUCCGCGCUGCAUUAGCUAGUUGGUAAGGUAACGGCUUACCAAGGCAACGAUGCAUAGCCGACCUGAGAGGGUGAUCGGCCACACUGGAACUGAGACACGGUCCAGACUCCUACGGGAGGCAGCAGUAGGGAAUCUUCCGCAAUGGGCGAAAGCCUGACGGAGCAACGCCGAGUGAGUGAUGAAGGUCUUCGGAUCGUAAAACUCUGUUAUUAGGGAAGAACAUAUGUGUAAGUAACUGUGCACAUCUUGACGGUACCUAAUCAGAAAGCCACGGCUAACUACGUG